rnacentral:rRNA from 1 species
GAGUUUGAUCGUGGCUCAAGACGAACGCUGGCGGUAUGCCUAAUACAUGCAAGUCGAGCGCAGGAAGCAGACUGAAGCCUUCGGGUGGAUGUCUGUGGAAUGAGCGGCGGAUGGGUGAGUAUCACGUGGGUAACCUGCCUGUAAGCUUGGGGAUAACUCCGGGAAACCGGUGCUAAUACCAGAUAAGAUUUCCGUUCGCAUGAACGGAAAAUGAAAGGCGGCUUUUGCUGUCACUUACAGAUGGACCCGCGUCGCAUUAGCUAGUUGGUGGGGUAAAGGCUCACCAAAGCAACGAUGCGUAGCCGACCUGAGAGGGUGAUCGGCCACACUGGGGACUGAGACACGGCCCAGACUCCUACGGGAGGCAGCAGUAGGGAAUCUUCCGCAAUGGACGAAAGUCUGACGGAGCAAUACCGCGUGAGUGAUGAAGGUCUUCGGAUCGUAAAACUCUGUUGUUAAGGAAGAACAAGUGCUAAUCUAAUACAUUAGUGCCCUGACGGUACCUAACCAGAAAGCCCCGG